UGCAGUCGAACGAUGAAGCCCAGCUUGCUGGGUGGAUUAGUGGCGAACGGGUGAGUAACACGUGAGUAACCUGCCCUUAACUCUGGGAUAAGCCUGGGAAACUGGGUCUAAUACCGGAUAGGAGCGCCUACCGCAUGGUGGGUGUUGGAAAGAUUUAUCGGUUUUGGAUGGACUCGCGGCCUAUCAGCUUGUUGGUGAGGUAAUGGCUCACCAAGGCGACGACGGGUAGCCGGCCUGAGAGGGUGACCGGCCACACUGGGACUGAGACACGGCCCAGACUCCUACGGGAGGCAGCAGUGGGGAAUAUUGCACAAUGGGCGCAAGCCUGAUGCAGCGACGCCGCGUGAGGGAUGACGGCCUUCGGGUUGUAAACCUCUUUCAGUAGGGAAGAAGCGAAAGUGACGGUACCUGCAGAAGAAGCACCGGCUAACUACGUGCCAGCAGCCGCGGUAAUACGUAGGGUGCGAGCGUUAUCCGGAAUUAUUGGGCGUAAAGAGCUCGUAGGCGGUUUGUCGCGUCUGUCGUGAAAGUCCGGGGCUUAACCCCGGAUCUGCGGUGGGUACGGGCAGACUAGAGUGCAGUAGGGGAGACUGGAAUUCCUGGUGUAGCGGUGGAAUGCGCAGAUAUCAGGAGGAACACCGAUGGCGAAGGCAGGUCUCUGGGCUGUAACUGACGCUGAGGAGCGAAAGCAUGGGGAGCGAACAGGAUUAGAUACCCUGGUAGUCCAUGCCGUAAACGUUGGGCACUAGGUGUGGGGACCAUUCCACGGUUUCCGCGCCGCAGCUAACGCAUUAAGUGCCCCGCCCGGGGGAGUACGGCCGCAAGGCUAAAACUCAAAGGAAUUGACGGGGGCCCGCACAAGCGGCGGAGCAUGCGGAUUAAUUCGAUGCAACGCGAAGAACCUUACCAAGGCUUGACAUGUUCUCGAUCGCCGUAGAGAUACGGUUUCCCCUUUGGGGCGGGUUCACAGGUGGUGCAUGGUUGUCGUCAGCUCGUGUCGUGAGAUGUUUGGGUUAAGUCCCGCAACGAGCGCAACCCUCGUUCCAUGUUGCCAGCACGUAAUGGUGGGGACUCAUGGGAGACUGCCGGGGUCAACUCGGAGGAAAGGGGAGGACGACGUCAAAUCAUCAUGCCCCCUUAUGUCUUGGGGCUUCACCCAGGCUACAAUGGCCGGGGACAAUGGGUUUGCGAUAUCUUGGGAGUGGGAGCUAAUCCCCA
rnacentral:rRNA from 1 species